CGCCGCCGCUCGCCGCCAUGCUGGCCACCCUGGUCGCAUCCCCUACUGGCCGCUAGGCACUAAGAAAUAUUGGCCUUGGAUCUCUCCACCAGAUCCCCACCCGCACCCCGCUGUUCCCCCUCCAAGCACGACGACACGGACAACCCUAGCCACCGUCGUGUCGCUCCUUUCGUGCUCCUUCUCUCUUGGGCCGGCCGGGGGUGCUGCCGCUGCCUUCUUGUUUCGUCCUUCUUCUCUAAUCUUUCACAGGUUUCGCACCAAACUGGCGACGGAACCAGUGACGAUGGCCAGGCCAUCUUUAAAGAGUAGCCGGAGCCUCUCAGAUGCGAGACCUACCGUUCGAAGCCCGAGGACUCGGGGUGUACGCAUUCAUCUAAGCCAUUGCCGGAAGAAGAAGAAUUGGGCAGUGCCGUCCAUGGAGAUCCCACAAACGCUGCUACUCCCUCCACUAUAUCUCCACCUCUCAAGAGGAUCCCCUCGCGGCCCUCUCCGAUGCAAGCUGCAGCUGCGCGAGGGUCCCCCACCAAGCAUAUCUCUAUCAAGUCCCCCCACCACCAAUCGCCAUCUACGACCCGCUGUUGUUUGGCUGACUGAAGUUUCAGAAUGUUUCAUAGAUGCACAUUAGUAUCCACAUCAUAUUUUCUUACUAAGGCUGCUGGUAUCUAUGAUGCGAUUAGUGCAGUUAGAAAUUUUCCGGAGAGAGCAGUGCUUACAAAUGUUCUUGAAAGGUUGAGAAAACAAGACUGCCAGUCCAUGGUAAUUUCUAAUGCUCUUGGUUGAAUGUCUACCAUUGGCUGAGAUCAAAAUAGUUAUCCAUGUACAAAUAAGAAGUACCAUCAUAGCUCAACAAUGGAUGAAUUGUUGAAAUGGUUUUCUUUACUGGGGCUCCAAAAGAUCUCAUUGGCAAGACAUCAUAUUUUCUUACUAAGGCUGCUGGUAUCUAUGAUGUGAUUAGUGCAGUUAGAAAUUUUCCGGAGAGAGCAGUGCUUACAAAUGUUCUUGAAAGGUUGAGAAAACAAGACUGCCAGUUGAUGGUAAUUUCUAAUGCUCUUGGUUGAAUGUCUACCAUUGGCUGAGAUCAAAAUAGUUACCCAUGUACAAAUACGAAGUACCAUCAUAGCUCAACAAUGGAUGAAUUGUUGCAAUGGUUUUCUUUACUGGGGCUCCUAAAGAUCUCAUUGGCAAGCCAUCUUAUA